CACCCGUCGCCGCCUCUCUCUCUCAUCAACUUCCCUCCCCAGGGCUCUCAACAACAUAUAAUCCUCUCCAGACCAACUCCUCUCUCUCUCUCUCUCUCUCUAGAUCCUUUAUAUAAGCAGCUUCAAAUUCUCUCACUACAUAUACAUACAAACAUAUAAAAGCAAUCUAAUUUCAAACUUCUCGCGCUCUCCCUCUCGAUUCUUUCCUCAGAAAUUCUCCCUCGAUUUCUCUCUCUCCGUUCUUGUUUCAAACCCUAGGUCCGAUUUUGUUGUUCAGAUCUCGGCGUUAUAGGCUUUGAUCCGUAUUGGGUUUUGUUGGUUUAUGACAUAAAACAUAGUUGAGAUAAAAAUUGGUUAAGAAAUACCAGGAAAUUUGUUAGGAUCGUGAAACGGGGUUUUUGUUGUUCUUGGGGAUAAGAGAGUGGUGGGGGAUAUGGCGGAUCAAGGUUCGGAAGGGAGCAUACCUGUGGAUCUCUCUAAGCACCCCUCUGGAAUUGUUCCUACUCUUCAAAAUAUUGUCUCAACAGUGAACUUGGAUUGCAAAUUGGAUCUUAAGGCCAUUGCUUUGCAAGCCCGUAAUGCAGAAUACAAUCCCAAGCGUUUUGCUGCUGUUAUUAUGAGGAUAAGAGACCCAAAAACAACAGCUUUGAUUUUUGCUUCUGGGAAGAUGGUUUGCACCGGAGCAAAGAGUGAGCAACAGUCAAAACUUGCAGCAAGAAAGUAUGCACGAAUUAUCCAAAAGCUUGGGUUUCCAGCCAAAUUCAAGGAUUUCAAGAUUCAGAACAUAGUUGGUUCCUGCGAUGUAAAAUUUCCUAUCCGACUUGAAGGUCUCGCAUAUUCCCAUGGUGCCUUUUCCAGUUAUGAACCCGAACUAUUUCCUGGUUUAAUAUAUCGCAUGAAACAACCCAAAAUUGUGCUUCUCAUCUUUGUGUCAGGAAAGAUCGUGCUUACUGGAGCCAAGGUGAGGGAGGAAACGUAUACAGCCUUUGAAAACAUAUAUCCUGUCCUGACAGAGUUCAGGAAGACCCAGCAAUGGUAUGGCACAUGUCUGUGUGUGUGGUUUAUUGGAAUUUAAACCAUAAAAUUUAGUGCUUGGUUGGUGAAGGCUUUAAGAAGCAGUUGUUGAAUUCGUGUUACAAAAAUUUGGACGAGCUUCAGGAAGGCAUGAGCUUUAAAAUGCCGGGAUUGCCCAAACUGUUACUUCACCGGUGCACCACAGAAGUAGGUGCAUGCAACUGUGAAUAUAUGGAAACUGGAUUGGAGGUGGUUGUAGUUGUGAGGACGGGUGGGCAGAAGUUGGUUCUUUUUAAUGCUCUUAUUAUAUACUCCAUCAAUAACAAGAACUGUUUUUUCCCAAAUUUGUCUAAUGGAACUCUACUUGUGGCCUUGUGGGAUAUAUUAUUCUUUGGAUUUUGGAGUAUGGAUUAUAAAUUUGUCGAGGGAUUUAUG